rnacentral:rRNA from 1 species
GGGGGAAAAAUUAAUAAAUUAUAAAAUAAUAAAAUAAAUUUUAAAAUUAAAAAUAAAUAAUGGGGGUUAAAGUAUUUUUAAUAAAAAAAAUUUAUAAUUUUAUAAAAAAUUAGUAUUGUAAAAGAAAUUUGAAAUAAUUUAAAUAAAAAUUUUUAGUAAAGAAGAUUUAAUUUAUUGUAUCUUGUGUAUCAGAGUUUAUUAAAUAAUUAUUAAAGAAAAUAAUAAUCUCGAAUUUAAAAGAGAUAAUUAACUAUAAAAGUUAAUGUAGUAUAAUUAUUUUUAAUAGUUAAUUUGAAAUGAAAUGUUAAACGUUUUUAAAAAUAUCUAGUUAUUUCAGAAAAAAAUUUAAUUUUGAAUUUAAGUAAUUUUAUAAUUUUAUAAAUAAUUAUAAAAUAAUUAAUUUUAAUGUUUUGGGGGAUAAGCUUUAAAAUAAAAUUUUAUAAUAAUUUUUAAAAUAAAUUAAAAUUUUUAAAAUUUAUAUUGUUUAAAAAUUAAAAUUUUUUAUAAAAAAUUUUAAUUUAAAUAAAAUUUUAAUUAAAAAUUUAAAUUUAUAUGAAAUAAUAGUUUUAAAUUAAAUAAAAUUAAAAAUAAUGAUAAAAUUAGUAUAUAAUAAAAAAAAAAGUAAUUAAAAUAUAAAAUUAAUUUAAAGGAAUUCGGCAAAUAGAAUUAUUCACUUGUUUAUCAAAAACAUGUCUUUUUGAAGUUAAUUUAAAGUCUAAUCUGCCCACUGAUAAAUAUUAAAGGGCUGCAGUAUAUUGACUGUACAAAGGUAGCAUAAUCAUUAGUUUUUUAAUUGAAAACUUGUAUGAAGGAUUUGAUGAAAUAAUAACUGUCUCUAAAUUAAAAAUAUAAUUUUAUUUUUUAGUAAAAAAGCUAAAAUAAAUUUAAAAGACGAGAAGACCCUAUAGAGUUUUAUAAAAAAAUUAUUUAAAAUUUUAUAUUUAAUUUUUAAAUUUAAUUAAGUUUUAUAUUUUAUUGGGGUGAUAGAAAAAUUAAAUUAACUUUUUUUAAAUAAUAGAUAUUAAUGAAUAAAUAAAUGAUCCAUAAAUAAUGAUUAUAAGAAAAAAUUACCUUAGGGAUAACAGCGUAAUAUUAUUUUUUAGUUCAAAUAAAAAAUAAAGUUUGCGACCUCGAUGUUGGAUUAAGAUAAAAUUUAAAUGUAAAAGUUUAAAAUUUUGAUCUGUUCGAUCAUUAAAAUCUUACAUGAUCUGAGUUCAAACCGGUGUGAGCCAGGUUGGUUUCUAUCUUUAAAUAAUAAUAAUAUUUUAGUACGAAAGGAUCAAAUAUUAAAAAUAAUUUUAUAAAAUGAAUAUUAAUAAUAAUAUAGUAAA